rnacentral:rRNA from 1 species
AGAGUUUGAUCAUGGCUCAGAUUGAACGCUGGCGGCAGGCCUAACACAUGCAAGUCGAGCGGCAGCGGAAAGUAGCUUGCUACUUUGCCGGCGAGCGGCGGACGGGUGAGUAAUGUCUGGGAAACUGCCUGAUGGAGGGGGAUAACUACUGGAAACGGUAGCUAAUACCGCAUGACCUCGCAAGAGCAAAGUGGGGGACCUUCGGGCCUCACGCCAUCGGAUGUGCCCAGAUGGGAUUAGCUAGUAGGUGGGGUAAUGGCUCACCUAGGCGACGAUCCCUAGCUGGUCUGAGAGGAUGACCAGCCACACUGGAACUGAGGCACGGUCCAGACUCCUACGGGAGGCAGCAGUGGGGAAUAUUGCACAAUGGGCGCAAGCCUGAUGCAGCCAUGCCGCGUGUGUGAAGAAGGCCUUCGGGUUGUAAAGCACUUUCAGCGAGGAGGAAGGGGUUGAGUUUAAUACGCUCAAUCAUUGACGUUACUCGCAGAAGAAGCACCGGCUAACUCCGUGCCAGCAGCCGCGGUAAUACGGAGGGUGCAAGCGUUAAUCGGAAUUACUGGGCGUAAAGCGCACGCAGGCGGUUUGUUAAGUCAGAUGUGAAAUCCCCGCGCUUAACGUGGGAACUGCAUUUGAAACUGGCAAGCUAGAGUCUUGUAGAGGGGGGUAGAAUUCCAGGUGUAGCGGUGAAAUGCGUAGAGAUCUGGAGGAAUACCGGUGGCGAAGGCGGCCCCCUGGACAAAGA